rnacentral:lncRNA from 1 species
ACUACUUCACCUAAAGCAACAUCGUCCUCCAAAACAAAACCAGCGUAAGCCUCCUCUUGUUUAACCUUUUCACAGUUCUAAUUAAACAGACAGAAACCCCCUGUAAAUUAAUUAACAAACCAAGGGACCACAAAAGAAGCUCAAAUUACAAACUCACCCUCUCCCUCCCUUAGCCUCUCAGAGAUCGAGCAACAAAAGAUUCUAC